rnacentral:rRNA from 1 species
GAUGAACGCUGGCGGCGUGCCUAAUACAUGCAAGUCGAGCGAACGGACGAGAAGCUUGCUUCUCUGAUGUUAGCGGCGGACGGGUGAGUAACACGUGGAUAACCUACCUAUAAGACUGGGAUAACUUCGGGAAACCGGAGCUAAUACCGGAUAAUAUUUUGAACCGCAUGGUUCAAAAGUGAAAGACGGUCUUGCUGUCACUUAUAGAUGGAUCCGCGCUGCAUUAGCUAGUUGGUAAGGUAACGGCUUACCAAGGCAACGAUGCAUAGCCGACCUGAGAGGGUGAUCGGCCACACUGGAACUGAGACACGGUCCAGACUCCUACGGGAGGCAGCAGUAGGGAAUCUUCCGCAAUGGGCGAGAGCCUGACGGAGCAACGCCGCGUGAGUGAUGAAGGUCUUCGGAUCGUAAAACUCUGUUAUUAGGGAAGAACAUAUGUGUAAGUAACUGUACACAUCUUGACGGUACCUAGUCAGAAAGCCACGGCUAACUACGUG